AUUGAACGCUGGCGGCAGGCCUAACACAUGCAAGUCGAGCGGAGCGGCGGACGGGUGCGUAAUGCCUAGGAAUCUGCCUGGUAAUGGGGGAUAACGUCCGGAAACGGGAGCUAAUACCGCAUCCUAUCAGAUGAGCCUAGGUCGGAUUAGCUAGUUGGUGGGGUAAAGGCCUACCAAGGCGACGAUCGGUAACUGGUCUGCGAGGAUGAUCAGUCAAACUGGAACUGAGAAACGGUCCAGACUCCUACGGGAUGCAGCAGUGGGGAAUAGUGGACAAUGGGCGAAAGCCUGAGCCAUCCAUGCCGCGUGUGUGAAGAAGGGCUUCGGAUUUUAAAGCACUUUAAGUUGGGAGGCGUUACCAACAGAAUAAGCACCGGCUAACUUCGUGCCAGCCGCCGCGGUAAUUC
rnacentral:rRNA from 1 species